GACGAACGCUGGCGGCGUGCUUAACACAUGCAAGUCGAACGGAGAGGCCCUGCUUUUGUGGGGUGCUCGAGUGGCGAAAGGGUGAGUAACACGUGAGUAACCUGCCCUUGACUUUGGGAUAACUUCAGUAAACUGGGGCUAAUACCGGAUAUGAGCUCCUGCUGCAUGGUGGGGGUUGGAAAGUUUCGGCGGUUGGGGAUGGACUCGCGGCUUAUCAGCUUGUUGGUGGGGUAGUGGCUUACCAAGGCUUUGACGGGUAGCCGGCCUGAGAGGGUGACCGGCCACAUAGGGACUGAGAUACGGCCCGGACUCCUUCGGGAGGAAGCAGUGGAGAAUAUUGCACAAUGGGCGGAAGCCUGAUGCAGCAUCGCCGCGUGCGAGAUGACGGCCUUCGGGUUGUAACCCGCGUUCGCCUGUGACGAAGAGUAAGUGACGGUAAUGGGUAAAGAAGCACCGGCUAACUACGUG
rnacentral:rRNA from 1 species